UGGGGAAUAUUGCACAAUGGGCGAAAGCCUGAUGCAGCGACGCCGCGUGAGGGAUGACGGCCUUCGGGUUGUAAACCUCUUUCAGUAGGGACGAAGCGCAAGUGACGGUACCUGCAGAAGAAGCACCGGCUAACUACGUGCCAGCAGCCGCGGUAAUACGUAGGGUGCGGGCGUUGUCCGGAAUUACUGGGCGUAAAGAGCUCGUAGGCGGUUUGUCACGUCGUCUGUGAAAUCCUAGGGCUUAACCCUGGACGUGCAGGCGAUACGGGCACACUUGAGUACGACAGGGGAGGCUGGAAUUUCUGGUGUAGCGGUGGAAUGCACAGAUAUCAGGAAGAACACCGAUGGCGAAGGCAGGUCUCUGGGUAGUAACUGACGCUGAGGAGCGAAAGCAUGGGUAGCGAACAGG
rnacentral:rRNA from 1 species